AUGGAAAAGGAGAAGGGCGACGAGGGCUGGCCUUGCCGCGGUGGUCUCCAUGGUGAGUCGAGCCGGGGCACACUGCUGCUGGCCAGCACGUGGACGAGCUCCUGCUCCUGGUUCGAGAGGGGGCGCAGGAAAUCGGGGCGCCGUGGUGCUCUGUGGCUGGACGUGGGAGGAGGCCAGAGGUCCUGCAGGAGAUCCUCUCCGGCGACGAGCACGCCAUGGAGGAGUCCCUCUCCUGUUGGGCUCGGAGAGCAGGACGAAGCAGAGCAGGAGGGGGUUCAAGUGGAGCUCAGGGAUGAGGGGAGAUCGGGCGCUGCUGGGCAGAGGAGCUCGGGCUCCUGCGGGAUUAGAGCGGCGCGUCUUGGUUGGAUCGAUUAG
rnacentral:rRNA from 1 species